rnacentral:lncRNA from 1 species
AUCCUCUCUUAACUUUCUCUGACUACCUCCAAUCUCUCAUCCUUCUCCUCAAACUGUGUUUCAAGGCAAAUUUCUCAGAGAUUGAGACAGUUUCAAUAUCUGAGCAAGCAAUCUUAAUCUCAAGUGUUUUGUGUAUAUUUAAGUGAUCCUAAAGCCUCCACUGUUUCACUGAUGUGUAAUUAUCUGAGAAAUUGAAAAGAAAUGUAAAGAAAAGAAAAUGGAAAUUCUAUUUCUGUUUUUACUUAGAAUGGUCAGAACACAGCAGGUAUCCAAGGAAAUGCUGAGUGGCCAACCUGAACAGUCUUUCAUAGAAAAUGUGGCCUUAGUAUAUUAGUACUUCUUUUAAGAAAUAUGAUGGAAUAUCUUUGGCCACAGACAUUUAAUGUUUCCUUUGGUCUUUUCACCUAAAGUCAAACCAGUUGCUAUGGUUUUGAAAUUGCUACUGAAAAUGUUUUUCACAUGCCCUUCCAACAUUGAAGACCCAGAUUACAAGCUAAAAUUCAAGCAAUUGAUUGGGGGUAGCUGCAUGUUUGCUGAAGCAGGAGGAAUGUCUCUGCAAGCAAGUUCUACUUUUCAGAUACUACAAUAUGAAAUAAAAGAGGGUGUCUCUUAACUUUCAAGAUAGUCCCCAGAUUUCACUUAUCAAAACAGUCUUUUUGAAGAGAUUUCUAGAUUUCUUCAUAUGAACAUCAAAUAAUUAGCUACCAUUAGCCCACACUCCCCCAUUUGAUAUAUGUGAAGUUAAAUGGAAAAUCUGCCCACUAGAGAUAGGCAGGUGCUAUAUAAACACAUCUGUAGGUCUUUUAGAAAUUACUAUCAUCACUCUUUUCAUUAAAGUGACAUGCAUAUAUUUAGAAACGCUUUUCAAAAACCUAAUGAAAGACUGUCCUUGAUAACUUCUCUAUAUGUUCAUCUAUAAAUCAUUAUUAAAAUCCUUUACAUAAUGAGGUGCACAUUCUUGGGGAGGAAAAAAAAAGGAAGUUUCAAUUCUCC